CCCAUUUCUGGUGUAGUACGGGCGAACGCCACUGAACAUUUCAUUUCCAUUUGAAACGGUGUCUCCCUUAUUGACAUCGAUGGCGGAAGUUUGAAAAUGGGAAACUUGUUAACAUAUUUCAAUUACAAAAACACAUCUGUGAUACACUAAGCUAUCCCGACGUGGGCGAUGGGUUAGAUUCAAUUCAGCGGCACUUAUAACCAUUUUAGCCCUCGCAACAGUUCCUUGGUUUGCGCACUUCCGAAGUUGUAUAUAUUCAUGCGUUGUGAGUUUUUAUAUUCAUAAUAAUGCAUUCUUUCAUAACAUAUAUUGCUGGAAUACCAGCUUUAAACCCAACUCACCCACUCACAAAUAGUGGGCAAGAAGCCUUAAUUGUUUGUUGAGAUGUACACUUCAUAUCGUAAACGUUUGUUUGAUAAGGUACCAAUGACAUUUAGUUGGAUAUGUGUAGUUGCAUCUGUUCAUUUUUCCAAUCAAUCAGAAGAUAGGUAGCCAUGUGGCUAAAGCGUUGGCUCAUCGCUGCGAAGGUUUGAUUCGUCCAUGAGUACAAUAUGUAAAAUAUGAGUGCCCUCCUCCUUAAACAGUGCUAACAGCACCAUAAAACUCACAAUUAUAUAUUGUAUUUUCAAGAAAAAUGAAAUGAGUUAAUUACCUUGGUUACUGUCUGUUGUAGGUAUUGUAUGGACCUGAUGAAAUACAGGACAAUGCUUUUUUUUAUGAUAUAAACUGUUGCCUUACUUUUUUUAAUCAGUAUAUUAACAACAUAUCUCUUAAAGUUUAUGUCCAUACACAACAUAAAUAUGAAAAUAAAAAAAUGAAAGUUUUUGUGAUGAAUUACCUUAUUGCUGACUGUGACUGGUUGAAACCAUUGACAGAUUAUUUGAUACUGUGUUGCACUGGUAUUGCUUGGGGCUGCUGAAAUACAGGACAGUUAUUAUUUUUCUAGUGUUUUUUAAAUAAAUUGUUGCGUUAUUAAUCUUUAUCAGUACAUGAGCAGCAUGUCUUGCAUAUUUUGUGGCCAUGUUUUACACUUCGUACUUUUUUAUGUUUUUUUGUGUGUGUUUCCAGUGUUGAUAUAUAUCCGUUAAAUAGAUCCACUCAACUACAGGAAUCUUUUCCCCUAAGUGACAAUGUGGUGAAAAUUUAUUUUGUGUAUCUCGCUACUGCUUGCCUCCUAGCAAUUGUCAGUUUGCAUUUUGAGCUAAGAGUCUUAACAGUAGUUAGAAUUAAAUCUAUUGUCACAUACAUCUAUUUCUCUGAAGACUAUUAUCCAUAACUGUACAUUUUAAUGUUUUAUGUAUCUCACUUCGUUUUUGUGGACUAGAAAUGUCAACAGGCUAGUUUAUAAGUUUCUACAGUCCUGUACACUAAGAUAUUUGCAUAUCAUCUUCAGUUUGUAUUCUUAUUGGUGUGUCACUCUUUACCUGUUAAAGAUCUGUGAGCACUGGUGCUUAAAAAUUCAGAA